CUAUGAGGUUUUGGUCACCUUUUUUGGGCCUUUUUCAUUUGAUAGGCUAAUUAAGAGAGUGACAGGAAACAGGGGAGAAGACAUGGAGCAAAAGGCUGUGAGCAGGAAUCGAACCGAGGUAGCUGCAUCGGAGACCAGUUCGUGGUUCACCCGCUUAACCCAUUGAGCUAAACGGGCGCCUGGUCACUUUUUGGACAACAUUCUAAACUAUGACGUUUUUGGUCACUUUUUGGACGACAUACUGAACUAUGACAAUUUUUUCCUCAUUUUGAAUUUUUUCCUCAUUUGAUGUUUUUGGUCACAUUUUGGAUGACUUACUAAACUAUGACAUUUUUGGUGAACAUACUAAACUAUGACGUUUUGGUCACUUUUUGGAUGACAUACUAAACUAUGACGUUUUGGUCACUUUUUGGAUGACAUACUAAACUAUGACGUUUUGGUCACAUUUUGGAUGACCUGCUAAACUAUGACGUUUUGGUCACUUUUUGGAUGACAGACUGAACUAUGACAAUUUUUUCCUCAUUUUGGAUGACAUACUCAACUAUGAGGUUUUUGGUCACUUUUUGGACAACAUACUAAACUAUGAUGUUUUGGUCACUUUUUGGACAACAUACUAAACUAUGAUGUUUUGGUCACUUUUUGGACAACAUACUAAACUAUGAUGUUUUGGUCACAUUUUUUGGGCCUUUUUCAUUUGAUAGGCUAAUUAAGAGAGUGACAGGAAACAGGGGAGAAGACAUGGAGUAAAAGGCCGUGAGCGGGAAUCGAACCCAGGCAGCUGUGUCAGAGGCCACUUCGUGGUUCACCUGCUUAACCCAUUGAGCUACACAGGUGCCUGGUUACUUUUUGGAUGACAUGCUAAACUAUGACAUUUUGGUCACUUUUUGGACGACAGACUGAACUAUGACAAUUUUUUCCUCAUUUUGGAUGACAUACUCAACUAUGAGGUUUUUGGUCACUUUUUGGACAACAUACUAAACUAUGAUGUUUUGGUCACUUUUUGGACAAAAUACUAAACUAUGAUGUUUUGGUCACCUUUUUUGGGCCUUUUUCAUUUGAUAGGCUAAUUAAGAGAGUGACAGGAAACAGGGGAGAAGACAUGGAGCAAAAGGCUGUGAGCAGGAAUCGAACCGAGGUAGCUGCGUCAGAGACCAGUUCGUGGGUUCACCAGCUUAACCGAUUGAGCUAUACGGGCGCCUGGUCACUUUUUGGAUGACAUACUAAACUAUGACGUUUUGGUCACUUUUUGGACAACAUUCUAAACUAUGACGUUUUUGGUCAUUUUUUGGACGACAUACUGAACUAUGACAAUUUUUUCCUCAUUUUGAAUUUUUUCCUCAUAUGAUGUUUUUGGUCACAUUUUGGAUGACUUACUAAACUAUGACGUUUUGGUCACUUUUUGGAAAACAUACUAAACUAUGAUGUUUUGGUCACCUUUCUUGGGCCUUUUUCAUUUGAUAGGCUAAUUAAGAGAGUAACAGGAAACAGGGGAGAAGACAUGGAGCAAAAGGCCGUGAGCGGGAAUCGAACCUAGGUAGCUGCGUCGGAGACCAGUUCAUGGUUCACCCGCUUAACCCAUUGAGCUAUACGGGCGCCUGGUCACUUUUUGGAUGACAUACAAAACUAUGACAAUUUUUUCCUCAUUUUGGAUGACAUACUCAACUAUGAGGUUUUUGGUCACUUUUUGGACAACAUACUAAACUAUGACGUUUUGGUCACUUUUUGGAUGACAGACUGAACUAUGACAAUUUUUUCCUCAUUUUGGAUGACAUACUCAACUAUGAUGUUUUGGUCACUUUUUGGACAACAUACUAAACUAUGACAUUUUGGUCACGUUUUCUGGGCCUUUUUCAUUUGAUAGGCUAAUUAAGAGAGUAAGAGGCGAGAAGACAUGGAGCAAAGGGCUGUGAGCAGGAAUCAAACCCAGGUGGCUGCGUCGGAGACCAGUUCGUGGUUCACCCGCUUAACCGAUUGAGCUAUACAGGUGCCUGGUCACUUUUUGGAUGACAUACUAAACUAUGAUGUUUUGGUCACUUUUUGGACAACAUACUAAAUUAUGACAUUUUUGGUUACCUUUUUUGGGCCUUUUUCAUUUGAUAGGCUAUUUAAGAGAGUGACAGGAAACGGGAGAAGACAUGGAGCAAAGGGCCGUGAGCGGGACUCGAACCCAGGCGGCUGCGUCGGAGACCAGCUCGUGGUUCACCCGCUUAACCCAUUGAGCUAUACGGGCGCCUGGUCACUUUUUGGAUGACAUACUAAACUAUGACGUUUUUGGUCACUUUUUGGACAACAUAAUAAACUAUGACGUUUUUCGUCACAUUUACACGACAUACUAAAGUGUGUUCAUACUAAAGUUCCGUGUCGGCAGCUAUAUCUUGCAAUUGGUAAUCCGAAGCAAAUCCGUAGAUCCAGAAUAUGAGCCACUGUGAUAAUUUAAAGAGGUGGUCCUUUUGUCAUUUCUGAAAAUCCCUGAAAAUGUCAUCGAAAUCCGUUUUGAGUAAUACUUCAUACUGACACACAGAUUCACAGAAAAACUUAAGUCGAUCGUCACAUAACUCCGCCGUUCCUUGGCGUUGUAAUAAAACCAUAAUUACUAAACUGUCCUUUCAGUUGUGGAUCUAGUCGCAUAUUUCCUGUUUUAGCAUCAUUUCCAACGUUCCAAACAAACUGAAGCUCGAAGUUCCGUACCUGCUCUCCAGCCUUGAACGCCACGUCCUCCAGUUUGACGGCUGACAGUCCUUCCUGUUCUCCAAGAGGCGACAUCAUCUGAGCUCCGGCUGCGGCUACUUCCUGCAGCACGGCCACCACCCAGGUCAGGUGUUUCCUGCAGUCUGAGAGCGUGUCGGACACCUGUGAGGGGAAAAAGGUGGAAAAUCAAUGUGAUUAUCAGCAAAAAAAAACAAACACAAAUUCUGCUCAGUUGUUAAAGUCUGUAUAAAGACCUGCUGUCCGAAGUUGAGUGCCGCUGGGAUUCCCGGUGCGUCGGUUCCCGGCAUCCUGCGGCGGAUCUUCUUGCAGAACUGCCUGAUGUCGCUGCAGGACGUCUCCAGGUCCUUCAGCAGCACGGCGAGGUCGGCCUUCUCCUGACCAGUGUGAAGGAAUGCCCGGAGACGACCGACCUCCACGGCCAUGCAGUCCAAGGCACUCUGGGUAAACUGCACCAAAACAACAGCUGGUAAAGAAAUCUCUCUGUAGACAUCUUGGUGCAGGGUGUCAAACUCAUUUAGCUCAGGGGCCACAUUCAGCCCAGUUAGAUCUAAAGUGGCCCGGACCAGUAAAAACACAGCAUAAUAACCUAUAAAUAAAUAAGUUUUUCCUUUGUAUUAGUGCAAAAAAGUACAUUCUGAAAACAUUCACAUUUAAGGAAUAAUCUUUUUGCAAAACAUGAACAACCUGAAACUUUUAAGAAAAAUAAAAUCAAUUUCAACAAUA